GACCCGGUGGUGAAAAUGUUACCAUACCCCCUCCCAGUAACUGCUCCAAUUAAUUGAAAGUGGGAGUCUCUUGUUUGACCCAAGGCCGGGUCA